rnacentral:lncRNA from 1 species
CGUCGAUAUGUGAAGCUGGGAGAUCAUGACUCAACAUAAAGUUGAUAUGCCAGAAGGGAAGAGCCUGCCAACUCUCCAACCCAGGCAUCUUUUGCCGGAGUCGAUCCACAUUUUGAAGAGGAGACGUGUGAGGGGAAAAUCUGCUUCAGAGACUGUAUGCUCAGGAGGAGACAGGAGAGCUCAAGUACAAUGAAAAUAGGAGUACUAUGAGAAAAUGAGAAAUCGUCUGGUAACUGGUUCCUACCCCAGCCUGUGGGAGCAGCCCCUGUGAGGAGAGAGGCAAGGAUCCUGUUCUCAGGGAACAGCACUAUUUGGGGAACUUAAGAGUUUCACAGUUUGGAACACCUAAGCAAGGCAGGAUUCUCCUACAGGAACGGCAGCAGCUAAAAUAGCAGAGGCCCAAGAAAAGCCUGGGAGGAGCAAGCUGCACGUGAGUGUGAGCUCGUUUGUACAUCAGUGAGGAACCCCAGGGACUUCCAAAAAUACGUGACAAGAGGACUUUCGGGGACUGAGAUCCUGUCUCAUGAUAGGACGGAAUCCCAAGUCAGCAAAAUUUGAGCGUAAAACCUCAUAUGAUUUUAUUCAUAAGAAGAGUGUUGAUCUUUGAAAUAGUUGGCUUCUAUACACGACAAGAUUUGGUAUUUAGGUAUGAGCCUGAUAAAUGGCUUUACUGUCAUCCUAAGAUAUCUCUAUAUGGAAUUCUAACCACACCUUAACACUGGCCAGGCAGAUGUUACAGAGCAUUGAGGAUGAGCUCACAUGAUUUCCUCCGUGUUAGUUGAAAGGAAACAUUAAUUGAGAUUAAGCAUUUGGUCUUGCUGUGAGUAGAAAAGUUCACUGACUUUCAUGUGCACUCACCUUCCUCCCAUCAGGAAGCUGAGGUGGCUAAGCAAAGUAAAUUUCUCCAAGGUUACCUUUAUGCAUCAAAUUUACAGGUAAAUAUUAAUGUACUUCGACUCACAUUAGCACCAUCUACAUUUCAUAGUAAAGUUUUUUCUGAAAAAAAAUUCAGUAUUUUAUAACUGCUUUUGUGCCACUCUAAUAUUUUAUAAUCAAACAUAGCACUAAUGACCAAAAUGUUGAACUUAUAUGAACCUCAUGGAGCAGGAAUUGUCAUCAAGCAUUUAUGUCAAGGGGGUUAAGAAAGUUCAUAAUUAGUAACCAACUAACCCAAAUAUGAUAGUGGAAGAAAAAUAAACAGGCUGCUGUCGCUUUUUGAUUGUUCUUUUUCAAGGCAAAUUUGACUUGUUCAUCAUUUUCUUCAUCUCACCUGAAUAACCAUGCUAACAUUUAGUAAGUACUGGUCCCAGCCAUCACUCCGACACCCUACAUGUGUUACAGUUGUUCAUUAGAUACACCCCUUACAUGAUGAGAACUCGACCUUCUGAGGUGUUUGAGAAGUGGCUUAGGAAGCAUUUGUGUUUAUGAAGCCCCAUAUGGCUUUCUCAGGCUUUAGGAGCAGCUGAGUGCCACCAUCUAUACAAACAUAUAGAUCAUAAAAGCUACUGCUUCUCUUUUCAAAAUCCUUGUACUUUACUAGUUUUUAGCAAGGGUGUCAUGACUUCUAUGAUGGCAAUCUACUGGGUGGGUGUAAUGCUACAAUUGUUUUCACUGAUUUUUCCUUUUUUUUUUUUUCUUCUGUAUUAAAGGUUGAACUGCGUAAACAGUAUCAUAUGCAUGUUUAUUAACUCUUGUCUUCAGCGUGUACCAGAGCUACAAAAGCUACAUGCACUCUUGGAAAGAAGUAAAUAACCAUAUGAGAGAGUGACAAUAAAGAAAGAAUUCCUUGAGGCACCUGGGUGGCUUGGUUGCUUAAUCGUCCGACUUCGACUUCAGCUGAGGUCAUGAUCUUACGGUUUGUGAGUUCGAGCCCCACAUCAGGCUCUGUGCUGACAGCUUGGAGCCUGGAGCCUGGAGCCUGCUUUGGGUUCUGUGUGUCCCCCUCUUUCUG